GCCGCCGCGGUUAAACCAGCACCUNAAGNGGUCAGGAUGAUUAUUGGGCCUUAAGCAUCCGUAGCCGGCUCUGUAAGUUUUCGGUUAAAUCUGUACGCUCAACGAUACAGGCUGCCGGGAAUACUGCAAAGCUAGGGAGUGGGAGAGGUAGACGGNACUCGGUAGGAAGGGGUAAAAUCCUUNGAUCUAUUGAUGACCACCUGUGGCGAAGGCGGUCUACCAGAACACGUCCGACGGUGAGGGAUGAAAGCUGGGGACGCAAACCGGAUUAGAUACCCGGGUAGUCCCAGCUGUAAACUAUGCCAACCCAGUGAUGCAUUGGCUUGUGGCCCAUGCAGUGNUGCAGGGAAGCCGUUAAGUUUGCCGCCUGGGAAGUACAUACGCAAGUAUAAAACCUAGCGGAAUUGGCGGGG
rnacentral:rRNA from 1 species